CCCCACCGCGGCGCUUUCGGGCGACGAGGAAAGUCCGGGCAACGCAGAGCACCCUGCUUCCUAACGGGAAGGACUGGCGCGCAUAAUGCAAACCAGGACAGCCAGUGCCACAGAAAACUACCGCCUACGUCGCCUUCGGGCGGCCGGUAAGGGUGAAAAGGUGCGGUAAGAGCGCACCAGCGGGCGGGUGACCGUCCCGGCUGGGUAAACCUCAGGGGUUGAAAGACCAAAUAAGCUGGUACGCCGGCGCAGCUUCGGCUGCAUCGGCACCGGGCGGCUCGUCCGGCGCCAGCGGGUAGGUUGAUGGAGCCUUUCCGCGAGGACUGGCCUAGAUAAAUGGUGGGGACGUGCCCUCGGGCGCGCACAAAACCCGGCUUA
rnacentral:RNase_P_RNA from 1 species